UCUUCCAUCCAGACACGGCAAUUUUGUCUUUGCUCUGUUUCAUGACCAUAUUGCAAGCUCCCACUUCAAGAUUGCCACAAAAGAUAAAUUACGGAUUGCAUAAUUUGUCUGCACAAUUUGUCUGCACAAGAAGUCAUUGAUAUCAAGAGGUUAAUACAACUCAAAAGAAAUUUGACACCUUUAUAGAACAAGAACAUCUAAAUAAGAUAAAAAAUGUAUGGGACACUCUUCUGAUUAAGAGCAUAUUCCUUAUGUCUUGCUACAUACUGGAAAUAAAAGAAACGAGCUUUA